GAUGAAGAACGUAGCGAAAUGCGAUAAGUAAUGUGAAUUGCAGAAUUCAGUGAAUCAUCGAGUCUUUGAACGCACAUUGCGCCCCCUGGUAUUCCGGGGGGCAGGCCUGUCCGAGCGUCAUUGCCGCCCUCAAGCACGGCUUGUGUGUUGGGCCCCCGCCCCCCGGCUUCGGGGGGCGGGCCCGAAAGGCAGCGGCGGCACCGCGUCCGGUCCUCGAGCGUAUGGGGCUUCGUCACCCGCUCUGUAGGCCCGGCCGGCGCCCGCCGGCGACCCCAAUCAAUCUUUCCAGGUUGACCUCGGAUCAGGUAGGGAUACCCGCUGAACUUAAGCAUAUCAAUAAGCGGAGGA
rnacentral:misc_RNA from 1 species